AGAACGUCGUGAGACAGUUCGGUCCCUAUCUGUUGUGGGCGCGGGACAUCUGAUGAGACCCGACACUAGUACGAGAGGACCGUGUCGGACAGACCUCCGGUGCGCCGGUUGUCCCGCCAGGGGCACCGCCGGGUAGCCGCGUCUGGCCGGGAUAAGUGCUGAAAGCAUCUAAGCACGAAGCCCCCUCAGAGAUAAGAUGUCCGAUUUGGAGGGCCGUCGGAGACGACGACGUCGAUAGGCGGCAGGUGCAGGGGCUGCGAGGCCCACAGCCGAGCCGUACUAAUAGCCCGAACCCUUUCCGCC
rnacentral:rRNA from 1 species